AUUCACCUCCUGCUGACUCGGGAAGCUGUUCCACCAUCCAUCACGCAAGGAAAAGUUUAGAAGAGAAAGCAUGAUUUACAUUGGAUCCGUUGACAUCAUCAUGUGAUGGAGAGGCCUUUGGAGUCAGCCAGACUCAUCUCAACUCUGCCACUUACUCAUUGUAUGAAACGCGGAAAAGUUCAGUAAAACCACCAAGUAAGUGGUGGAGCUGGGACUCAGUCCAGGCACCCAGACAACCUGGUUCCAGAGUUGGGCUCUACAUUUUACUGCCAAUGCAGUUCAUGGAAAUAACAAAGAUGUGACCUGGAGAAAUACCCAUGACUGUAGCUUUGUGCUUUCACACCCAACCAGGCUACCUCCACAAAUCAGUCUGGCCAGUGCUCACUACUCCAGGCCCCAGAGUCAGAUUUUGUCAUAGUUGCUUAUUGUCAAUUUCCUCCUUCUCUUAAGGAGACUGCAAACCCCUUCUCAGGCCAGUGUCUAUUCAGGGUGGUUUUUGCUCACCCCAGUUCAGACUCCUAACCGGAGUACAAGGCGUUAGAAAGGGGUGGACCGAGGACAGAGGAAGAAUGGUAGGCUCCACAAACCUAGUGCAGAAAGGUAAGACAUGCGAUCAUUUCUUGCUUUUUUUUUUUUUUUGUGACAGAGUUUUGCUGGAGUGCAAGUGGAGUGCAGGCUGGAGUGUAGUGGCAUGAUCAUAACUCACUGCAGCCUAGACCUCCCAGGCUUAAGCAAUCCUCCUGCCUCAGCCUCCUGAGUAGCUAGGGCUACACAUGUGCACUACCAUACCUGGCUAAUUUUUUUAUUUUUGUAGAAAUGGGAUCUCUCCAUGUUGCCCAGGCUGAUCUCGAACUCCUGGGCUCAAGCGAUUCUCUCGUGUCUGCCUCCCAAAUUGCUGGGAUUACAGACGUGAACCACUGUGCCCAAUUUUCCUGCUUCUUCCUAAUCUCUUUUCCUCCCUCUGAGGAUGAGGAUAAUUCCCAAAGAUGCUAACAAAGCUGUGAAUGUGGAGGAACCAGAAUUUUGCUCUGCGUCUAGGGCAACGUUUUAUUUGGUUGUUAGAAACACCUAAUUAAUAUACACAAUUUUACUUCACGUGCCUGUUGUUUCUUGAAAGGCGAGGGGUUCCUCUUUGAGUAUCAUGCAAUCCCAUCUUUAUCAAAUGUUAUUUGAGAAAACUGCCACUGAAAAAUCAAUAAAACAGUUAUUGGAAAAGAA